GGGCUGGGAUGGUGUCCCAGGGCCAGCUCGCUCUGGGGGAUGCCCUGGGACACCCCUGGCUGUGGGGGCACCUGUGGCCAGCCCUGACCCCACAGCAGGGAAGGGACUCCUCCAACACCUUCCCCUGCCCCCUCCUGCCAGGCUGGGCAUGGCUGCUGCCAGGGAAGGGAGCUCAGUCCUCGGAGCAAGGUGCCAGGCUGGGGGACAAGGGACAAAGGUCCUGGAGGGACAGAGCAGGGUGUUAUGGGGCACAGAAAGGGGUGUUAUGGGGCACAGAGCAGGGUGUUAUGGGGCACAGAGCAGGGUGUUUGUUAUGGGGCACAGAGCAGGGUGUUAUGGGGCACAGAAAGGGUGUUUGUUAUGGGGCACAGAGCAGGGUGUGUGUUAUGGGGCACAGAGCCGGGUGUUUGUUAUGGGGCACAGAGCAGGGUGUUAUGGGGCACAGAAAGGGUGUUUGUUAUGGGGCACAGAGCAGGGUGUUUGUUAUGGGGCACAGAGCAGGAGGGAAGGGGGGAGCAGAGGGCAAUGGUGGAG